AUGAUCAGCUGCAUAGGUGAGAGGAGACCAGUGGCAUAGCUUGACUUCACUAAGGCUUUUGACACUGUCUUCCAUAACAUCUUCAUAGGACCACAAUCUUCUUUAAAUCCAAUCUGGAAGAGACUGGAUAGUCUCCCCUGGUACAUCCCUCAAGAUGUCACUUUUCCCUUGGUGCUGUCAGCCAGAGGCCCUGGGUGAGGCCAUUCUCCACAGCUGCAGUAUAGAGAAUAUUUUUACAUCCUAGAUUCAUACUUAGCUUCAUCUAGGAUUGUUCCAGGCUGAAAUUCACCCUGUGAAAAGGAGUAUUGAAGACAUCCAUGACAAUCAUGAUAAGUUUAGCUGGCCCAUAAAGCCAAGACAACACAGAUUAAAAAAAUAUAUAUCACAGAAGUGGAGGCUAGAAGAAAAGGCUCAGAAAACAAUGCCUCUACCCUAUCCAAGGAGUGGAUCACAUUGCACUGAUUGAAAUUUAAUGGUUCUUCAGGAAGCAUAAUGAACAACCUUAUCUCAGGAGACCUCUGUUCUCUACACACAUCAAGAGUGGUGACAGCUCAUCCUUCCCAGAAACCAAUACCAGGAAGAAAGUGAGCUGCCUGAGAGCGUUAAACCCACGGCAAUGUUAGAUGCCUGCUGUCAUCAGGGACAAGUAUUACCAUGCAGCCUACCAAGCUUGCUCAGAUACUGAAAUUCACACACAGAAACCUCUCUCCUAUUUCCUAGCAAUACAAAUCAAGAGCAUCUCUAA